GGGGAAGUCUGGUUUAAGUCCAGAGAAAGGCAAUUUUGGUAGCCAAUUCUCACACUCGGGAAAAGGUUUGCUGGAGCUGUUUAGAGUUGUCCAACCUUGAGCAUGGACAAGGAACAGUCAUACUGACAAGUGGCAAGCUUUGUGAUGCUACAGGGACACUCAGAGGGAUGACUGUGGUCAGGACAAAGCUCUCUUGGGGACAUGCUUAUCCGAUAACAUUCUAUGAAAGCUAUAAAGGCAAGAUUACUUAUAUACUAUUUAUAUUUAUACAAAAUGCUUGCCCAAAGUGAUUGUUAUGUAAGUGAGAUAGAUUUUAAUUUUUCCUACUUUUCAUAUCUUUAAAGUUUUUAAAACAUAUAUAAUUACAUCAUUCUCCCUUUAUCUUUCCUUUGUCCAGCCCUCUCCAUGUGUUCCUAACUUCAUCUCAAAUUCUUGGCCUCUUUUUCUUUAAUUGUUAUUGUUCCAUAUAUAUUGCAUAAAUAUACAAAUGAAGCCUAUUGAGUUUAUUUAGUAUUACUUGUGUUAUAUGAUUUCAGGGCUGACCACUUGGCACUGGUUAGUCAAUUACUUUCCAUUUCUUAAUAUAUUUCAUUAAAAAAUUGCAGCUUUACUAUGAAAAUGGUAACUAUCUCAUACAAAACAAUAUCUGCACAUCAAAGCUUGAAAUCAAUGAAGACUGUUUUCCCAGCAAUCAUUGAACCCAAACCAAGCAGUGAAGAAAAAAACAAUCAAACAAACAAAAGCCUUACUGGACAAUCUCAGGGGGGAUAGUGACCCCUUCCAGGCAGCCAUGGCCUCUUCGCCAAACCAGGCUGAAGAUAAAAGAAUCUCCUUCUCUGGCUCCAGAUCUCUAAACUCCAUGGAGACCAGUGUUCUUCUGGUGCAGAUUCACUGAAAAGACUUCUGUUUCUUGUACCUAUAUGCCAGAAAUGUGUUUCUAACCUUUUUUUUUUUUCUCAAUUAAACAAGAAGCUAUAUAUUAUACACAAUCCUUUGCUGAAGACCUUAAAAUAUUUCAUCAACAAAUCCUCCUUAUUUUUAAAUUUAUUUUUUAUUAUUAUUUUUAUCCAUGUGCAUGCAUGUACGCCCUCACUAAUAUAUAUGUGUGUAAUGUAUGUACAGAAGCCCAUGAGGCUCACUGGAUCCUCUGGACCUGGGGUUACAGGUGGUUGUGAGCCAACAUGUGGGAGCUGAGAACCAAACACUGGUCUUCAGCAACAACAACAGCAAACAGUACCUGGUUCAAAGCCUUCCUCAUGAGUUACCAUGAACUAACUUCCUAUGGAUCCCUGCCUCCCAUCCUCCCAAAGCAAAUUAGGAAAAAAGUCUUCUCUUAGGUGAAAUGGUGAAUGUUUUACAUAGAUUAAUAAGGGUUGUUGUUGUUAAGUUUCCCUGUUCCUCUAGCCACCAUACACAAAUACACACACACAUACACAGAUACACAAGCACACAGAGAGAGAGCGAAAGAGAGAGAGAGAGAGAGAGAGAGAGAGAGAGAGAGAGAGAGAGAGAGAGAGAGAGGGAGAGAGAGAGAGAGACUCUUAGACAAGCAGAGAACCUAGAAACUCAUAUACAGUCUUCCUUCCUGCUGUCUUCUAUAGGAGCUAUCUGUCACUGCCUUUGUGACUCUGUUUCCGGGGAACUUCAAAGUGGGCAACCUCUUUCCUAAACUUAAGGCUGAGGGAUGGACAAAUUCCUGAUAAGCGAUUUAAUGUUUGACUGGCUGUCACGUCAGGAGGUCUGAUUUGGGGCACUAAGUUGUGUUCCUAGGGACCUUCUGGUUGCAAUUACCACUAGAUGUCCCCCUUCUCCUCAACCUAAACCACAA
rnacentral:lncRNA from 1 species